rfam:Salmo salar isolate Sally breed double haploid chromosome ssa06, whole genome shotgun sequence.
UGCAUUCACUAUUGUAAGUCGCUUUGGAUAAGAGCGUCUGCUAAAUGACUAAAA